UUUUUGCCUCCUUGUUUCUUUUCAGUUUCUUCUUUGUGGUCUUGUAUUCUCGAUUUGUUUUGUCAAUUCUUUUCCAAUUAGUUCAUAUUGAUUGUGUGAGGUACGUAUUUCGGUGUAAGUUUGAAAGUUUCCAUGAGUGAGUUUUUCGUAAGCUUAUUUGAAUGUUUCUAUUGUUAAAUUACUGGGGUUAAUGGAUGUUUCGCAAUUUCAGUUGGGUGAGGAGUGUGGAUUACCGUGUCCUUCGAGGAAUUGAUUGUUGUUGGCUAAUAUUUUUGGAACGGUAAGUGUUUAUUCCCCAAUGUGGAGGUUAAUUUUCUCCAUAAUUCAAG
rnacentral:lncRNA from 1 species